UUCUGUCUGAGGGUAAUCGAAAUACGUAAGAUAAGGGAGAGAAUGGCUUUGGAACAUCCUCGUUCCGAGUUAUAACGAAGAAGUUAUGAGAUUUCGAAAUCAGCAUCUCAAGCUUGUAAAAGACUUAGAAAAUUUUUCUAGGUUUCAUGCUUGGUGCCGCAGCGCGAGUCGUGCCUUGGGGGCUGGCACCGUAGCGUGAGCUCG
rnacentral:lncRNA from 1 species